rnacentral:lncRNA from 12 species
UUCACAUAGCACUUUCACAUCAUUAAUAAGUGUAAUAAAAUAUAUUAAGUUGUAGAGGUUAAAAUAAAUUCCCAAAUUUCAAAGUUAACAAUUUAACCUGAGAGUUAUAUAUUAAAUAUACAAAUAUAAUACAACUUAGUAAAUGUCAUGAUUUUGUUAUAAGAGUAUGGAUGGAGAGAGAACUUAACCUAUUUCUGGGAAUAUUAUUAAUUUUAUGUGAUCCUCCAGCUAAUAUGAUAGAGAUUUCAUAAGUUUAUUCAUGGAUUCCCUCCCUAUAUUAUAUGUUCUUUCCCUCAUGAUUUUAAACCUUGACUAAACACUAAUUUCCUCAUAUCAGCCCUAAAACGUAGUUAAGUGUCUUCUUUCCUAAAACAUACAUACACACAAAAGUAACUCAGAUUCAAGUUCUUAUUCAGAUACUUUGGCACCUCUCUCCUUUCAUGCCUACCUCCUGUUCUUUUUAUUGCCAACUACACUGUCUCCUAUCUUUCACAUUACUCAUUCACUCAUCAAACCACUGACUGUGGUCUCUACUGACCAACAUGUCAGGAAGCUAAAGCCUUCACAAAUAAGAAAAAGGAGCUCUGAUAUGAUAACCAGUUUGUCCAAAGUCAAAUAAAUAGUAGAAGGUAAGUGAGGUCUCUGGAAUCCAUUGUUGCCUCAGAAAUUAAUUUAUGUAUCAAAUAUUAAAUAAAAAGUGCAUGUUAUAAGGCUUACCUGUUGAAAUUAAAUAGAUUAAAAAUUAUUUGCGUGUUUUCAACACAUAACUCUGUUAAUGCUCAUUGACAUUAACAAAUUCAUGGAGAAAACAUCACACACUUUUAAACUUUAAUAUUGAUAAUUUAAAGCAUAUAUGUAAGAAUUAUGUCCACAAUCUUGUAUAAAGUUGUCAAUAACAUGACUUCUUCUUAUGCUUAAAUUCAGAUCCAUGUCGCUUACAAUGAAUGACCUAGAAGAUUAUGCUAAUUGGACUUUGCCUGCCUCUCUGACUUUAUCUCAGGCCACAAGAGAGGGAGAAGAAAUACAGGAGUUUAGAGAUGGCAUUCAGCAUCAGGAAGUGACCCAGAUGAGGAAAGAGUGUUCGGCAGACUUUCUACGCCUUACAAGCACAUCAUUGGUGAAGUAUUUAAUUCACAAAAUGAAAUAUGACCAGAAGUCACAUCACCCUAUUUUCACCACAAUCUUCUUCCAAACUAAAUCAUUUCAGAUUCUUUUCUCUCUUUUGGGAAAUAUUUCUAUGGAAGAUAUUCUAUAAUAUAUGUUAGUAGAAAAGAAGGACCUCUAUUACCAAAAGGUGACUCAGAAAAGAUUGAAUAUAGCAAAAAUUCAUCACAAAUUAGCAGGUGGUGAGUAUAGAAAUCACUCUGAAGAGAAACACACAAAAACACUGAGAACAGAAGAAGCAGGGGGCAAUCAGAGUUAUAUAUCUUCCCUGCACUUGUAAAUUUCCUCUUUUCUUCCAUGCUCUGUGUCCUUCUCUAUGUCAAAAUACAACUGUUUACUGUGUAUACUCACCUCCCCAUCUUUUUUUUUUUCUCUUAAUCUCCAGAUCUGUUAAGUGUCUGCUUUUGUGUUGUCAAAAGAAGGAUUACAAGGUAAAAUUGGAGGAAAAGAGUAAUAAACCUUCUGUCACUCCUCA